rnacentral:lncRNA from 10 species
AAAUGGUUAUGAAACAGUGUUUGUAGUAAAUGGAACAAUGAGUUAGUACAAAGUGAAUGGAGCAUAUUUGGAGGUACAGUUCUCUUGCAUGAUGGAAACAUUGAAAAUUUUAAAUAUUAAAAAUAAAAAUAUACAGAUAUCCCCAAAAGUAAGGGGAUGUGAAGAUACUCUUGCUUCAACUACAUGUCCUAUGCUGCUUGACAUUGCCUGUAUGACUGGCAAGCAUAUGACCCCGUAUUCUCUACAGGUAUAAUCACUUAGGCAAAGAGGAUGAGCUUCCCUUUUCAUAUAGUGUCUUCUUCACUGAAUGUGCUGCUUUCCUCUCUCUCUUUCCUUCUUCCCUAUCAUUUCCCUUCAUUUUCUUAUUCUUUCAUUCAUUGUUUAGUUUCGUAUUUACUGAAUGCUCAUCAUGCACUAAGGGAAUAUAAUCAUGAAAAAGACGCUGUGGAAAGGCUGAUGAGUAAAUCUCAAAUUACUGUAUGAUGAAAAAAGGUAGAGUGUGCUCUGAGAGCACAAGGGAGUGGUAAAUACACAAAUCUUGUUGAGCCAGAAAAGACAUCGUAGAAAUUUUUAUACAGUGAAACCAGAAGGAUAAAUAGGAGUUAUUCAAUCACCUACUGCAACUUAUUUUUGUUCAAUGUCUUUCAUUCAGCAGCCAGGUCAGGGCUAUGUUGCUCCAUGCUGUCUUUUAUUCUUUUCUUUUUUAACUCUUUUUUCUCUAUUUUUAUUGAGGUAUAAUUUACAAAUAACAAUUGUAUACCAUUUAUGAUGUAAAAAGGGAUGUUUUCUUUUCUUUUCUUUUCUUUUUUUUUUGAGACGGAGUCUUGCUCUGUCUCCCAGACUGGAGUGCAGUGGUGCGAUCUCCACUCACUGUAAGCUCCGCCUCCCAGAUUCACGCCAUUCUCCUGCCUCAGCCACCCGAAUAGCUGGGACUACAGGUGCCCGCUACCAUGCCCAGCUAACUUUUUGUGUUUUUAAUAGAGAUGGGGUUUCACCGUGUUAGCCAGGAUGGUCUCAAUCUCCUGACCUCGUGAUCUGCCUGCCUUGGCCUCCCAAAGUGCUAGGAUUACAGGCGUGAGCCACGGCGCCUGGCCCCAUGAUGUUCUGAUAUAUGUACACAUUGUGAAAUAGUUACCACAAUCAAGCCCAUUAACAUAUUCAUCAGUUCACAUAAUUAUUUGUGUAUGUGUGUGUGAUGAGAACAUUAAGAUCUACUCUCAUCAAAUUUCAUGAAUACAAUGUAAUAUUAUUAACUAUAGUCACCAUGCUAUACAUUAGAUCCCCAAAACUUAUUUAACUGGCCUAAUACGAAAUUUGUACCUGUUUACCGACAUUUCCCCAUUUUGCCACCUCCCCAGUCUCUGGCAACUAUCAUUCUAUUUUCUGUUUCUAUGAGUUUGACUUUUAAAAUUUUCACAAGUAAGUGAGAUUAUGCAGUAUUUGUCUUUCUAUGCCCUGCCCAGCCACUCCAGCUCCAGCUGUGACAAAAAGGGGCCAAUGGACAGCUAAGGCUGUUGCUUCAGAAGAUGCAGGUCCCAAGCCUUGGCAGCUUCCACAUGGUGUUGGGCCUGUGGGUGUGCACAAGACAAGAGUUGAGCUUUGGGAGCCUCCACCAAGAUUUCAGAGGAUGUAUGGAAAUAUCUGGAUGUCCAGGCGGAAGUCUGCUGCAGGGGUAGAGCCCUCAUGGAGAACCUCUACUUGAACAAUGCAGAGGGGAAAUGUGGGGUUGGAGCUCCCACACAGAGCUCUCACUAAGGCGCUGCCUAGUGGAGCUGUGAGAAGAUGGCCACUGUCCUCCAGAACCCAAAAUGGUAGAUCCACUGACAGUUUGUACCAUGCACCUAGAAAAGCUACAGGUAUCCAACGUCAGCACAGGAAAGCAGCCAUGGAGGCUAUACUCUGCAGAGACACAGGGGUGGAGUUUCCAAAGGCCUUGGGGGCCCACCCUUUGCAUCAGUGUAACCUGGAUGUGAGAGAUGGAGUUAAAGGUUAAAGGAGAUUAUUUUGGAGCUUUAAGAUUUAAUGAAUGCCCUGCCAGGUUUUGAACUUGCAUGAGGCCUGUGGCUCCUUUG